rnacentral:lncRNA from 1 species
GCCAAUUCCAACCACCGGCCACACCCACGCCCGAUGGUGAAGGAGGCGGAUGGCCGGACCAGCCAGCAUCCCGAAAAACUUUUCAGGAUGCCGGACCCGGGACCCGCUGCCUGGCAGGGCGAGGCCUUACCGCUGGCCCAUCCGGCCGCAAUUAAUAUUCCGGGUCAAAUCGGCUGGUGUCAAAAACACGACGAUAAAAGACCGGUUUUAUCGGUCGAUAGCACGAAUAGCCAUGGUGCUGGCCACGGCGCCGCGCGGACUGUGGACUUUAUGGGUAGUAACUGUGCGGAAACUCUAACGGCGUUGUAUCCGUAACCGAAGGAAAAUGUGGCUGGGCCGACCACCGACAAAUCGGCUCUGUGUCUGAUAUAUAAGAAAAAAGCGUGGCGAUUUUUUUAAGAACGGAAAGUGUUUGGUGGCGAAGCGAAACUAACGGGCGCCAUUUUAAGGCCGGAUUUAUGGGGAGCCCGCCUCCGUUAAUCCCGAGGCCGGAAUAGGGGUCCAUUUCGGAAACAAACAAAUAGUGGAAAGAGGUAAUUAUUGAAUAAGGAAUUUAAAAGUGGAGAGGGUGGAAGGGAGUUUCACAAUUGCUCUUCCGCCGCGAGGCGCGUGCUCUUCCGCCUUAACCGUAGGAGAAAACAUUUUCGGAAUAAAUAAUGAUCGGCCUUUAUUCGAUUUUUUCUCUAUAUACAGUCGUCUUAAUUGAAAGAUAGGAAACGUAACUUGCGGGGGAGCGUUUCACUUUAACUAAUAAAAUAGGCAUCGAGUAGAUUUUUCCCUCUUCCGACAGAGGCGGGCGUUAACUGCGUUUAGUAUAAAAACCGUUUUAAAAAACGACACUUAAAAAAAAAAAAAGACCAGCGUAAAAAUUUGUUUCGGCAGUUAUAAAUCUAGAGAAUGUUUAGAACCAGUGACGCUUUUUCCCACCGCCACCCGGGGCAGAAUGGAGUAGAGACUUUACGGGGCACACCCGGUCGACCGUCCAGGCUGGAAUACCGGGCGUCAGAAAAUCUGGAAUUACGGUCGGGAAUAUUUUCCUCCAGCGGAAAGUCGGAAGAGAGAUUUUUAAAUAGUCGACUACCGUGGAUGAGUCGACUAAGGCCGUUAUAUUUUGGGAAAAGAUUUUAGACGGAAAACUGGCAUUUUGAUCACUGGCGGAGAUUAAAUAGGCCACCACUACCUCCCGUUAUAAUUUGAUUGAAGGCGGACUAAAGAACCGAUACCUGGGCUGGCCGGAGGCCGA